rnacentral:lncRNA from 12 species
GGUAGCACGGUUGGGGGCAGGAGGUGGGACACGCAGGACGAGAGGCCCACAGACGCCCAGGAAGCCUGCAUACCAGAUGCAGCAGGUGGAGGGCGGGCUGUAAAGGCCCUGUGUUGUGUCAGCGCAGCAGGACAGCCAUCAGCAAGCAAUGAGUGAAGACAGCAGAGGCAUUGCGGCAUCUGGGGACGUGUGGGCAGGCCUUUGCUAAAGAAGUGGCAUCUGUCACUUUCAGCUCUGAGGUGGCCUGACAACCAGUGGAAGGAGAGUGCACAGCACAGAGGAUAGACUUCCUGGCUGUUUCUGGUUCUUGAGGGGCAACAUUUCACUUGCCAGCAUGACCCUGAUCAUGGAGAUAAUUCUGCACAACAGGACGGCAAUGAACAAUCAUGCUGAUAAACAGAUGACUUUAACAGAAGCUGUCCUCAAGAUGGCUGAAGAGUAGGGUCCCCAAGUCACCUGUCCCCACCAAAUUACCUAGAUAACCUUCAAAUCAUCCUGAAAAUCUACGAAUUCGGCCUGAGAUUAAAGAAU